GGAUGAUCCGCCACACUGGGACUGAGACACGGUCCAGACUCCUACGGGAGGCAGCAGUGGGGAAUUUUGGACAAUGGGGGCAACCCUGAUCCAGCCAUGCCGCGUGAGUGAAGAAGGCCUUCGGGUUGUAAAGCUCUUUCAGCCGGGAAGAAAACGCAUGGGUUAAUACCCUGUGUAGAUGACGGUACCGGAAUAAGAAGCACCGGCUAACUACGUGCCAGCAGCCGCGGUAAUACGUAGGGUGCGAGCGUUAAUCGGAAUUACUGGGCGUAAAGCGUGCGCAGGCGGUUUUGUAAGACAGGCGUGAAAUCCCCGGGCUUAACCUGGGAACUGCGUUUGUGACUGCAAGGCUAGAGUACGGCAGAGGGGGGUGGAAUUCCACGUGUAGCAGUGAAAUGCGUAGAGAUGUGGAGGAACACCAAUGGCGAAGGCAGCCCCCUGGGUCGAUACUGACGCUCAUGCACGAAAGCGUGGGCAGCAAACAGGAUUAGAUACCCUGGUAGUCCACGCCCUAAACGAUGUCAACUAGGUGUUGGGAGGGUAAAACCUUUUAGUACCGGAGCUAACGCGUGAAGUUGACCGCCUGGGGAGUACGGCCGCAAGGUUAAAACUCAAAGGAAUUGACGGGGACCCGCACAAGCGGUGGAUGAUGUGGAUUAAUUCGAUGCAACGCGAAAAACCUUACCUACCCUUGACAUGCCAAGAACUUUCCAGAGAUGGAUUGGUGCCCGAAAGGGAACUUGGACACAGGUGCUGCAUGGCUGUCGUCAGCUCGUGUCGUGAGAUGUUGGGUUAAGUCCCGCAACGAGCGCAACCCUUGUCGUUAAUUGCCAUCAUUUAGUUGGGCACUUUAACGAGACUGCCGGUGACAAACCGGAGGAAGGUGGGGAUGACGUCAAGUCCUCAUGGCCCUUAUGGGUAGGGCUUCACACGUCAUACAAUGGUCGGUACAAAGGGUCGCCAAGCCGCGAGGUGGAGCCAAUCCCAGAAAGCCGAUCGUAGUCCGGAUCGCAGUCUGCAACUCGACUGCGUGAAGUCGGAAUCGCUAGUAAUCGUGGAUCAGAAUGUCACGGUGAAUACGUUCCCGGGUCUUGUACACACCGCCCGUCACACCAUGGGAGCGGGUUCCGCCAGAAGUAGGUAGCCUAACCGCAAGGAGGGCGCUUACCACGGCGGGGUUCGUGACUGGGGUGAAGUCGUAACAAGGUA
rnacentral:rRNA from 1 species